rnacentral:rRNA from 1 species
AACGAACGUUAGCGGCGCGCUUAACACAUGCAAGUCGUGCGAGAAAGGGAGCAAUCCCCGGUAAAGCGGCGCACGGGUGAGUAACACGUAGGUAACGUGCCCCCAGGUGGUGGAUAACCUUCCGAAAGGAGGGCUAAUACAGCAUAAGACCACGGCUUCGAAAGGAGCUGAGGUCAAAGUCGGCCUCUAUUCAUAAGCUGACGCCAGGGGAUCGGCCUGCGGCCCAUCAGGUAGUUGGUAGGGUAAUGGCCUACCAAGCCUAAGACGGGUAGCUGGUCUGAGAGGAUGAUCAGCCACACUGGAACUGAGACACGGUCCAGACUCCUACGGGAGGCAGCAGUGGGGAAUCUUGCGCAAUGGGCGAAAGCCUGACGCAGCGACGCCGCGUGAGUGAUGAAGGCCU